rnacentral:lncRNA from 1 species
UGUUUAUUCCUCCUUAUGAAUUUAUUUUGUCUUUAUCCACUUUCCUUCAUUUCGCGUCAGCCAUUUCUUCUUCUCUGCAACCUAAAGCUCUGUCACCUAAUCAUCUUUUCUUUGUCAUAAUUUUCAUUUCCUCUUCAUUUCUCAUUCGUGCAAUUUCCUCUACUUCCAUCUAAGAUCAUUUUCGACCAAUCCAUUCUCCUCUCUUUCUUAUUUAAGUCUCCUUAGCAAUUCUUCUCAUCCCUGUUGCAACCAUUGUCCC